AUCUGUCUAACAUCGCAUGGUAUGUUAUCUUAUCUCGCUGUAUAGCCAAUCACAGACUCUGUUGUUACCAGUUCCCAGUAACCUACAUCAGACAACCAAUAAGAGUUGUGUCCAUGGCUUUCAGUCAAAUAGAGGAGUUCAUAGGUGUUCCCAGGGGGUCCGUGCUAUUCAGGAUUGUUGGGAUAUCCCUCCCUCAAUCAACUAUACAUGUAAAAUGGUUAAGUUUAGUGUUAGUUAGGGGUUAUAGUUUAGGGUUCAGGGUAGAGACAUCCUAAGGAAUCUGGAUUGCAGUGACUGUUCAUAGAGUGAGAGAAGGGCACGUUAUUUGAGAGCUCGGCGGCAACACAGACAUUCAUUUUGUUUUGUUUUUUUACAAGCGACAGAAGCGAUUUUCGAGAGUGUCUGCCCCAGAUAAUUAUUUUCAACGACUCUAAGGAAACUAUCAAGAUCUCCCUGAUCCGAUUGAGUAGACCGAGUUUUGAAAUCAGUGAAAUUUGAGUAUGCUGGCUAAGGAGAUGGAGAAAAAAAGCCUGUCUCCGGAUUACAUCUUCAAACUAAGGGCAACCAUGGCAUCCGACAGGAGACGCGGCCAUCCAUGAUGUAUAUAGCCAAGAAGUGAUGAGCCAGAGCAACCAAUCAGCGUCACUGUAGCUGUUCUACCCACCACCCACACAGCUCUCCCUCUACAAGCAACCACAUCCUCUUCUCCUGUUCAAUUAAUUUGCCAGCACACUGAAAAGGACUGUACAUGCAUACCUCUGUGCCCAUCUCAUUGCAACAUGAUCCAUCCAAGGUCAAAGCUGGAAGCCUAAAAUGUGAGAAAUGUAAACAAGUAGUGUGUGUUGUGUAUGGAUGGCGUUCCAAGAAAAGACACGAGAAAAGGGCAAAGUAGAUUGUGAUGAGAGUGAGAGCAUACAGUAUGAAAAUAAAGACCCCAUGGGAUCUAAAAUGAGUGGGGGUGCCCUCGUCUCCUUUUUAUUCCUUUGAGGAUACUACAGUCACCCCUGGUGGAGGUUCU